AGUAACACGUAAAUAACCUGCCCUCAAGUUUGGGAUAACAUUGCUAACGCGGUGCUAAUACCGGAUGUGGAUAUAAAGUUUCAUGGCUUAAUAUUUAAAGGUCCUUCGGGAUUGCUUGAGGAUGGAUUUGCGCACCAUUAGUUAGUUGGUAGGGUAACGGCCUACCAAGACUAUGAUGGUUAGCCGACCUGAGAGGGUGAUCGGCCACAUUGGGACUGAGACACGGCCCAGACUCC
rnacentral:rRNA from 1 species